rnacentral:sRNA from 1 species
CCCCUCCUGAAGCUCACACUCAGCUAAAGAGGACCACCAUCCCCAAUAGAGGAGGACCAGUCUCAGUCAAGCGUAUAUGAAUAGCUGAGCUUCUCUGAUAGAAUCUCCCAGCAAGCUCCCGAUAAAGUAGAGUGUCAUUGCAGAGC